GACGAACGCUGGCGGCGUGCUUAACACAUGCAAGUCGAACGGAAAGGCCUUGCUUUUGUGGGGGGCUCGAGUGGGGAAAGGGUGGGUAACAGGGGGGUAACCUGCCAUUGAUUUUGGGAUAACUUCGGGAAACUGGGGGUAAUACCGGAUAGGAGCUCCUGCUGCAUGGGGGGGGUGGGAAGGUUUCGGGGGUUGGGGAUGGACUCGCGGCUUAUCAGCUGGUUGGUGGGGUAGUGGCUUACCAGGGCUUUGACGGGUAGCCGGCCUGAGAGGGUGACCGGCCACAUUGGGACUGAGAUACGGCCCAGACUCCUACGGGAGGCAGCAGUGGGGAAUAUUGCACAAUGGGCGGAAGCCUGAUGCAGCAACGCCGCGUGCGAGAUGACGGCCUUCGGGUUGUAAACCGCUUUCGCCUGUGACGAAGCGUGAGUGACGGUAAUGGGUAAAGAAGCACCGGCUAACUACGUG
rnacentral:rRNA from 1 species